GACGAACGCUAGCGGGAUGCCUUACACAUGCAAGUCGAACGGAGUGGCGAACGGGUGAGUAAUGUAUCGGAACGUGCCCAGUAGCGGGGGAUAACUACGCGAAAGCGUAGCUAAUACCGCAUACUCAUGGAGCGGCCGAUAUCGGAUUAGCUAGAUGGUGGGGUAACGGCUCACCAGGGCGACGAUCCGUAGCUGUCUUGAGAGGACGACCAGCCACACUGGGUCUGAGACACGGCCCAGACUCCGACGGGAGUCAGCAGUGGGUAAUUUUGGACAAUGGGGGAAACCCUGAUCCAGCCAUCCCGCGUGUGCGAUGAAGGCCUUCGGGUUGUAAAGCACUUUUGGCAGGAAAGCGGUACCUGCAGAAUAAGCACCGGCUAACUACGUGCCAGCCGCCGCGGUAAGAC
rnacentral:rRNA from 1 species